rnacentral:rRNA from 1 species
UACGGGGGGAGCAAGCGUUGUUCGGAUUUACUGGGCGUAAAGGGCGCGUAGGCGGCCUCUGCAAGUCGACUGUGAAAUCUCCGGGCUUAACCCGGAAAGGUCAGCCGAUACUGCAGGGCUAGAGUGCAGAAGGGGCAACUGGAAUUCUCGGUGUAGCGGUGAAAUGCGUAGAUAUCGAGAGGAACACCUGCGGCGAAGGCGGGUUGCGGGGCUGACACUGACGCUGAAGUGCGAAAGCUAGGGGAGCGAACGGG